AUUCUUCCCAUCCUAAACUAUCACUUUAGUUUCUCUAAAGUUGAAAUCAUAUGAUCACUUUUGUACCAAAAAAAACACAAACAGAUAGUCCUUCAACACUCCAGAUUCCUAGGCAGGGAUUCCUACCCACCUACCAGAAUAGCCAGCAGGGGUAAGAAAGUUCAGAAUCUGGUCUGCCCACAAGAUCCAUACCUCUUGUUUCAUAUCUGUACGUUUCAUUUUCAUUAAAAUCUGAUUGCCUGAUGUUAAAGUAUUUUCUUCAGGAACAAUUUAUGGUGUUGUGUAGGCAUAAGCAAAAUGGGUUAGAAUCACCAUGUAAUGUGGAUUUAGGAUUCAUUUUCUCACUCAGUCGAAUUCCUAACUAGCUUAGAGGGACUAUUCUGCACUGAGCGAAAAUGCUCCAAGUGUUUACCUUGUUUGCUGAUUCUAAAAUGCUGUCAAAUUCAGAUGGUCUUGGUGAAUUUGGAAUUGUCCAUGUCACAGCCCACCUCAAUAUUUGGCAGUAAACAAAUACGUUGAGUGUUGGUUUAAAAUCUCCUGACUUGAAUUUUCAGACAAAACAAGGUCAAAGAACAAAUAAUGCACCAGAUAAACUAAGAGCAAAGGUCAAUGGUUUCUAAUGCUGGGUGAUCAAUAUGCAAAGCUUUGGGAUUUUGUUGGCAUGUGGGGUGGGAGAAACGCACAUCUUAUAGGUCGGAUAUUUCCAAAGGGACCUUCUUUUAAACUAUUUCUUUCAACAGACAAACACCUUCCAAACGACAAAAGCCUUGAAGUCUAUGGCACAAGAGACAUGCAAAAGUCAUUAAGGCUUAUCCCAAGAGACCUUCUGGAGUUGCUUCAUACUGGAGUGGGUGUAAGUCUGCUUAAAAUUAAAUUACCUUAAAAUAAAGUUAGAGCGCUAAGCAAUAUCCUGCCUUCAACCCAGCAGGGUUUCCCGUGAGAAAAGAAAGUAGGCAAAGAGAGCUUAGACAGACAGACAAACAUAUUUACCCCUAGGUGGAAGGUACAAAUUAAAUUAGCUUGCCACAAAAGGGGGAUGUUUUCUCCUUCUGUUCAGAUGUCAUGGUAGUGAGGAAACAUAGUCUUGGGGCCAAGAAAAAUGGCACAGAUGCAUUCAUCUAAACUAUCAUUCAUCCUGUUCCAAGGUCUAAACAGCACACAUAAAAGAACAGCGCUGUUGAGCUACUUCCUCUCCUUAGUUACCAAGUGGGGGCUUGCACAGGAAUAUGGGAGCAGAGGGUGCUGAUUUUUCCAGAAGGUUUCAGUGUUGCAAUGGAGAGUGAUUGAAGAGGUUAUCAACCUGAUGAAACCUGGAGUAAGAAUAUCACAAAUAAACCUUGAUUUCGUACUUUGUGUCAGAAUAUACAAUACUAGGCUAGAUGGGGAAAUAGCUUCCUAUGUUCCUGCUUCUACAGCUGUCCCUACAGUUGCAUCAGGAGGGAAACACAGUGGCUGUGAACCAACCCUCUUCCCCAACCUGGUGCUCUCUAGAUCUUUUGGACCACAACUCCAAUCAGCCUCUGCCAGCAUGACAUUUUGGAUGUCUCCCAAAAUGAAGAAGAUAAGUUAGGCAUCCUGCCUCACACUUCAUCCAGUUUUUAAAGAAAAGGUGAAACCAAGGCGUGUCUACCGGGGGGGGGGGGUCUACAUUCCUACCCUGCUUGUCAGAUAAGGAAACAAAUAGAUAACGUGUAUGCUGAAACUGCUAAAACACCAGCCUCCUACUGAAGUAGGGAUAAAGCAAGUAGAAGGUACUCCAAAACAACCUGACAUGGUGUCUGAGAAUUAAUGAACUGUUGGAAAGUAUAACAUAUACCAUGCAGAUUAGGAGUCUAGUUCAUUAAAACAGCCACAUACAGACUUGGGAGGAUCAAUCAGGAGUAAGGCAAGUU